rnacentral:pre_miRNA from 1 species
UCCAACAGGGAAGCUUUUGGCUUGGGUUAUAUUGUCACUCGCAGUGUAUAAGACGAGCGAAAAGCUUCUUGGUUGGAAG